rnacentral:rRNA from 1 species
UACGGAGGGUGCAAGCGUUAUCCGGAUUCACUGGGUUUAAAGGGUGCGUAGGCGGGCAGGUAAGUCAGUGGUGAAAUCUUCGAGCUUAACUCGGAAACUGCCAUUGAUACUAUCUAUCUUGAAUAUUGUGGAGGUAAGCGGGAAUAUGUCAUGUAGCGGUGAAAUGCUUAGAUAUGACAUAGAACACCUAAUUGCGAAGGCAGCUUACUACGCAUAUAUUGACGCUGAGGCACGAAAGCGUGGGGAUCAAACAGG